UUACGAUCAUAUGGAGUUGAAACAUCGGUUCCCGUACGCACACCGAAGUUAAGCAACGGCGAUCCGUGUCAGUACCAAGAUGGGUAACUGCUUUUGAACAUCAGGUGUUGUAAG